AGUUAUUAUUAAUAAUAUAUUAACAACAAUAACAGUAAUAAUAAUAAUUAUUAUUAUUAUAUGGACGUUUUUGCUGUUUUGCUUUUUGUUUUCACUUGUUUUUAGGUUGUUGUUAGAUGUUUUUAGGUUGUUAGAUGUUUUUAGGUUGUUGUUAGAUGUUUUUAGGUUGUUGUUAGAUGUUUUUAGGUUGUUGUUAGAUGUUUUUAGGUUGUUAGAUGUUUUUAGGUUGUUGUUAGAUGUUUUUAGGUUGUUGUUAGAUGUUUUUUAGGUUGUUGUUAGAUGUUUUUAGGUUGUUGUUAGAUGUUUUUUUUAGGUUGUUGUUAGAUGUUUUUAGGUUGUUAGAUGUUUUUAGGUUGUUGUUAGAUGUUUUCUAGGUUGUUGUUAGAUGUUUUUAGGUUGUUGUUAGAUGUUUUUAGGUUGUUGUCAGAUGUUUUUAGGUUGUUGUUAGAUGUUUUUUAGGUUGUUGUUAGAUGUUUUUAGGUUGUUAGAUGUUUUUAGGUUGUUGUCAGAUGUUUUUAGGUUGUUGUUAGAUGUUUUUUAGGUUGUUGUUAGAUGUUUUUAGGUUGUUAGAUGUUUUUAGGUUGUUGUUAGAUGUUUUUUAGGUCGUUGUUAGAUGUUUUUUAGGUUGUUGUUAGAUGUUUUUAGGUUGUUGUUAGAUGUUUUUAGGUUGUUGUCAGAUGUUUUUUAGGUUGUUGUUAGAUGUUUUUAGGUUGUUGUUAGAUGUUUUUAGGUUGUUGUUAGAUGUUUUUAGGUUGUUGUUAGAUGUUUUUAGGUUGUUGUUAGAUGUUUUUUAGGUUGUUGUUAGAUGUUUUUAGGUUGUUAGAUGUUUUUAGGUUGUUGUUGUUAGAUGUUUUUAGGUUGUUGUUAGAUGUUUUUAGGUUGUUGUUAGAUGUGUUUUAGGUUGUUGUCAGAUGUUUUUUAGGUUGUUGUUAGAUGUUUUUUAGGUUGUUGUUAGAUGUGUUUUAGGUUGUUGUUAGAUGUUUUUAGGUUGUUGUUAGAUGUUUUUAGGUUGUUGUUAGAUGUUUUUAGGUUGUUGUUAGAUGUUUUUAGGUUGUUGUUAGAUGUUUUUAGGUUGUUGUUAGAUGUUUUUUAGGUUGUUGUUAGAUGUUUUUAGGUUGUUGUUAGAUGUUUUUUAGGUUGUUGUUAGAUGUUUUUAGGUUGUUAGAUGUUUUUUAGGUUGUUGUUAGAUGUUUUUAGGUUGUCGUCAGUGAGCGCAGUGACUGAUUCUAUCCCGCUGACCCUCUGAAUGCUGUAAAUUACCAUCAUCAUAACUGUAACCAAUCAAACCUGCUGCUCUCACUCACCCUCACACGUCACCGUGGCAGCGCUCUCUUUGUUAGCAUCAGGAUGGAAAUCAUCUCCUAUUAAUAGACCUUCAAGAACAGAAAAACCCUCUGAACAGGAAACCAGGAAGCUAUUUUUAUCUGAGCCAAGCUGUUUGUGCUUUUUAUUUCAGAGCAGGUUGGACUGAUGAUGAUUCACAGACAUUAAACAGACAUCAACAUAAAACAACAAAACAGAACUACCUCUCAGUGACUGCAUCACUUUACAGCUAAGCAAUGAACUGUUUUGUCUUUUGGACAAUCACAUCUAUCUAUAUCUGCAUCAUGGCUUCACAUGGAGAAAAACUGAACAGAGGAAGAGAAACAUCUGACUGAGAGACUCGACAAAUAUGGAAAAAGAACCAAGAAGAUCAGUGAGCAACUGAAAACCAGAGAAGGACAGAGUCAGCAGGAAUCGGGAGGUCUGGAAGGAAUCAUAGUUCCACUAAUCAGGAGGUCUAGAAUGAGUCAUAGUACCACUAAUCAGGAAGUCUAGAAGGAAUCAUAGUACCACUAAUCAGGAGGUCUAGAAGGAGUCAUAGUACCACUAAUCAGGAGGUCUAGAAGGAGUCAUAGUACCACUAAUCAGGAGGUCUAGAAGGAGUCAUAGUUCCACUAAUCAGAGCUCCUAAAAUGACUCCACAGACAGUGAACUACUUUCUCCAUCCAGCUGUAAAAACAGACUUCAGCUGCUUCAGACUUGGUUCAGGGGUUCUCCAUGGAAACCAGACUUAGUGUGAAGCUCAGACAGUGUGAAGGAACCUUCAGAACAUCAACCUCUAUGGACGGAGGACCAGAACUAAACCUGGCUGCUGCUCAGAAGUAAACUUCCAGAUGAAAGUUUGCUGAAGAACACGAGAAGAAGCCUGAUGGAUGUUGGAGAACAUUCUGUGGUCAGAUGAAGAUCAAUGAGUUAGGCUCAGAUGGAGUCCAGAUGUUUGGUGAGAACCUGACCAGGACUACCACAGUGGAUGCAUGGUCCUGAUAGUGAAGCAUGGAGGUAGAAGUGUGAUGAUCUGGGGCUGCAUGAGUGGCUCAUCAAAGACCUGGAACAUCCAGCUCAUGAACUCACUCUGAGGUGUUAAACUAAACCCUGACCUGUUCUUCUCUGCA